rnacentral:rRNA from 1 species
UACAACAUAGCAUUAAUGCACUAGAUCCCAUUAGAACUCUGUAGUUAAGUGUGCUCAUGCUAUAGUAGUACUGGGAUGGGUGAUCACCCCGAAAGUCCUAGUUUUUUAC